UAUAAGAUGAUAGACAAUGUUCCCAUCAAUGACCAAAUCCAUCAAUCUCAAAACUAUAUUCAUGAUAUCCGUAAGGGUAGUUCCAUGUUAGAUGAAAAUUACCAAAUAUCGUGCCUAAUUGAUAAAUUACUAUUUUUUUGGUCUAAGUUUGCCCAAGAACUUAGAAGAACUUAAGGAAUACUUAAUCUUAAAUUAGUCAUCCAAUCUAUUAGAAUAGAAGACCAACAUCGACUUAGGAAGGCUAAAGAGAAUUAGCUGCAAACCAAGGUCAACUUAACUGAGAUUGAUUCUCAAGAUAAGAAUCAUAAUUUUAAGGGUCAUCAACCUAGACAAUAUCAAAACCACAACUUUAAACCUAAAGGAAGGAAUUUUAAGCCCAAAGGUAAAAGUCCUAAAGACAAACCUAAACUUAAUUAGCCAAAAGAGAAUUAGAAGAAUAAUGAUACAAGGUUCUACCAUGUUUGUGGUCUGAACAAUCAUCUGGCUACUGAUUGCUAUCAUAGGAAGAAAGAAAAGGUCAUCAUUUUCAAGAAGGAUCAAUUGAACCAACCU
rnacentral:lncRNA from 1 species